AUGUGGAUCCGUGACGACGCUCUCUCAUGUAUGAUAUGCGUGAGGGAAUGGAGGGAAGCAGAGGAGGAGGUGGAGGAGGGCUUAGAUUCAAAUUCCAUCGUCCGGAGAUGUGCUCAGGUAUGCAAGAAUCGGGCAGACCGGGAGCUGUUGAAUCUAGCGAGGAGGAUCUACUUCGAGGGCACUAUGAAGGAGAAGUGUUGGAUGCCGCACCCAUCAGAGACGCGGUAUCGUUCGUCAACUAGGCGAAACAUGAAGAGAAAUCAGGGGAUCCGAAGCGUGCGACGUGGUGGGAAUGCAUUGUUGGGAUGA
rnacentral:rRNA from 1 species